rnacentral:rRNA from 1 species
GAUGAACGCUGGCGGCGUGCCUAAUACAUGCAAGUCGAGCGAACAGACGAGGAGCUUGCUCCUUUGACGUUAGCGGCGGACGGGUGAGUAACACGUAGGUAACCUACCUAUAAGACUGGGAUAACUUCGGGAAACCGGAUCUAAUACCGGAUAAUAUUUCGAACCGCAUGGUUCGAUAGAGAAAGAUGGCUUUGCUAUCACUUAUAGAUGGACCUGCGCCGUAUUAGCUAGUUGGUAAGGUAACGGCUUACCAAGGCAACGAUACGUAGCCGACCUGAGAGGGUGAUCGGCCACACUGGAACUGAGACGCGGUCCAGACUCCUACGGGAGGCAGCAGUAGGGAAUCUUCCGCAAUGGGCGAAAGCCUGACGGAGCAACGCCGCGUGAGUGAUGAAGGUCUUCGGAUCGUAAAACUCUGUUAUUAGGGAAGAACAAACGUGUAAGUAACUGUGCACGUCUUGACGGUACCUAAUCAGAAAGCCACGGCUAACUACGUG